rnacentral:rRNA from 1 species
CCUACGGGGGGCAGCAGUGAGGAAUAUUGGUCAAUGGGCGAGAGCCUGAACCAGCCAAGUCGCGUGAAGGAUGACGGCCCUACGGGUUGUAAACUUCUUUUGUCAGGGAGCAAAUGAGUCCACGUGUGGUCUUAGCGAGAGUACCUGAAGAAAAAGCAUCGGCUAACUCCGUGCCAGCAGCCGCGGUAAUACGGAGGAUGCGAGCGUUAUCCGGAUUUAUGGGGUUUAAAGGGUGCGUAGGCGGAAUAUCAAGUCAGUGGUAAAUAUUCGGGGCUAAACCCCGUCGUGCCGUUGAAACUGAUGUUCUUGAGUGGGCGAGAGGUAUGCGGAAUGCGUGGUGUAGCGGUGAAAUGCAUAGAUAUCACGCAGAACUCCGAUUGCGAAGGCAGCAUACCGGCGCCCAACUGACGCUGAAGCACGAAAGCGUGGGUAUCGAACAGGAUUAGAUACCCGGGUAGUC